GCAGUCGAGGGGUAUUGGUUUUCGGACCAGAGACCGGCGCACGGGUGCGUAACGCGUAUGCAAUCUACCUUUUACAGAGGGAUAGCCCAGAGAAAUUUGGAUUAAUACCUCAUAGUAUUAUUUACUGGCAUCAUUAAAUAAUUAAAGUUCCAACGGUAAAAGAUGAGCAUGCGUCCCAUUAGCUAGAUGGUAAGGUAACGGCUUACCAUGGCGACGAUGGGUAGGGGUCCUGAGAGGGAGAUCCCCCACACUGGUACUGAGACACGGACCAGACUCCUACGGGAGGCAGCAGUGAGGAAUAUUGGUCAAUGGGCGCAAGCCUGAACCAGCCAUGCCGCGUGCAGGAUGAAGCAUCUAUGGUGUGUAAACUGCUUUUGUACGAGAAGAAACACUCCUACGUGUAGGAGCUUGACGGUAUCGUAAGAAUAAGGACCGGCUAACUCCGUGCCAGCAGCCGCGGUAAUACGGAGGGUCCAAGCGUUAUCCGGAAUCAUUGGGUUUAAAGGGUCCGUAGGCGGUUUUGUAAGUCAGUGGUGAAAGCCCAUCGCUCAACGGUGGAACGGCCAUUGAUACUGCAAAACUUGAAUUAUUGGGAAGUAACUAGAAUAUGUAGUGUAGCGGUGAAAUGCUUAGAUAUUACAUGGAAUACCAAUUGCGAAGGCAGGUUACUAUCAAUAUAUUGACGCUGAUGGACCAAAGCGUGGGGAGCGAACAGGAUUAGAUACCCUGGUAGU
rnacentral:rRNA from 1 species